rnacentral:rRNA from 1 species
UGGGGAAUAUUGGACAAUGGGGGCAACCCUGAUCCAGCAAUGCCGCGUGGGUGAUGAAGGCCUUCGGGUUGUAAAGCCCUUUUGGCGGGGACGAUGAUGACGGUACCCGCAGAAGAAGCCCCGGCUAACUUCGUGCCAGCAGCCGCGGUAAUACGAAGGGGGCUAGCGUUGUUCGGAAUUACUGGGCGUAAAGGGCGCGCAGGCGGCUUGGCGUGUCGGGCGUGAAAGGCCUGGGCUCAACCCGGGAAAUGCGCCCGCGACUGCUGGGCUAGAGUGUGGGAGAGGAUGGUGGAAUUCCCAGUGUAGAGGUGAAAUUCGUAGAUAUUGGGAAGAACACCGGUGGCGAAGGCGGCCAUCUGGACCACAACUGACGCUGAGGCGCGAAAGCGUGGGGAGCAAACAGGAUUAGAUACCCCGGUAGUCC